CCAUUUGGUUUUUUUCUCUUGUAGUUUAAUGAGAACCCCAAACCAAAUUCAUUUUGUUUCUCGUCCCUCCUUCACCGUAAAAAUCCCAAAACCCCAAAAACCUCAAUACUGGAAAAAAACCCAAGCCCCUUUUCUCUCUCGGUGCCCUGCUUUCCCCUCAAACUCUCACUCCAAUCCCCUGUUGUUACCCCUGCAUCUCGUCGGAGCUCUGCGCAUGGCCGCCGGUCUGGUCCUCCCCUUCUCCGUAUUUGUUCAUUGUUGGGCUGCCAUGGCGAGAUGCUAGUCUACUUUCUUCUUCUUCGUCCUCCUCGUGCCUGCCAUGUUCGUCGAUGUUCGUCGGUCUGCUGUUGUUCACCGGUGGACGACAGUUGUCGGGCUGCUGUUGUUCGUGGCCGGUGGUGUUGCCCCUGUUCGUGUUGGUUUUGUUGUUGUUGACUUCUCUCUCCCCUCUGUCCUGCGACCACCGCUGCUGGUGUCGUUGUUGUGGUUGUUUUGUUGUGGUUAGUCUCUAAUGUUGUGUUUUGUUGAUGCUGCUUUGUGCGUGGAGCUGUCGAUGCUUAGUCGUUCGUCGGUGCUCCACCGUUGUGUACCAAAGCCUCGAAACCCCUUAUGUCCCUUGUUCUUUGCUGCUCCGAGUAGAUUAUGAUUAGGAGUUUAAUUAUGGAGUAUAGUUUAAUUGAGAGGAGUUAUGGCGGUGGUUGUUGUGGUGGUUGCUGUUGGUUGUGCUGCUGUAUUGUUGUUGUUGUUGUUGUUGUUGUUGUUGUUCUGUUAUGGUGCUUAAUGUUGUGUUGUUGGUGUUGAUGGUAUUACUAUUGUUGUGGUGGUGUUGUUAUUGCUCUUAGCUCUUGUGGUGUGUCAUUGUUGAAGAAACAACCAAAGUCAGGUUGCAAUUUCUUAAUGGAGAAAUGUAUAGUAAAAUUAGUUUCAAGUUUGUUUAGUUAAGUUUGUUAGUUUAAGUUGAUUGAUCUAGUUCUAUAAUUUAGAUUUAUGUUUCUAAGAGGUAGAAUCGGUUUAAAGAAUUUAAGAUUUAGAGUUUGGAAUUAUGGUUGUAAAGGAUUUCAAUUGGGAAUUAGUUGUGAUUAUGAUUUCUAGUUUAGAUUAGUCUAAGUUUGAUUAUUGAUUAUCGUUAUUAUUGUGAGGUGAUUCUUGGAGGAGGAUUUCGGAGUGGAAUAUCAUUCAGAGCUAUGAAGGAGAUUGUGUUGUUGGAAUGGGAUUGCGAUUCAGGUUGGAUAUUAAUUAAUUCGGAAUUUGAAGUGGAGCACGAUAGAGAUGUCUUGUGAAUUAAGGAUUGAGUUUGUAUUUUUAGAUAGUUGAUUCAUCAGGAAUAAAUUAUAUUUCAUUGUAUAUAAUUUUGGGAAUUUAGUCGAGUUAUUGGUGUACUUAAGGAUAUUUUUCCGCUGCGAAGUAAUUUAUUAGAGAGUUAAUCUUGGUUUAUGGAUGUUGAGUGGAGCUAUUGAUAUAAUUAAGGUUGUUUUUCCGCUGCGAUUUUAUUUAAUUAAGAGCUAAUUCUAGUUUUUGGAUGUCGAGUAUAUUCCACUAGCAUCUCAGAAGAGCGGGCUGUUACAGUAGUGACUAAAUAACUCAGGUACGGUCGAUCAAAUCAUACUCGCGUCCAGUCAUUUUGUAUCUAUAUAUAUAUAUAUAAAACAAGGUUCAUUUUGCUUA